UAUGGAAAAUGUAAAUUUUCUGAAUAAAUAUGAUUUUCCAUAUUCCAGCUAUAGCUGCAUAAUUACGUGCGGCGUAGACGCCGUAGAGCAGACGACAGAACAGUUGGCAACUCUAGAAAUAUUCAUGCUCUAACCUCUGAGUGCGGAGCUCACCCCGCAACAGACAUACGCGGCCGGCCAGCAGAUAAUCAAAAAGGUGUCGACUACUCGAAAGAAAAAGAAAAGCCAUCCGCGACGAGCGAGGUGAAAGCCGUGUGUGUAUGUCCAAAGCUAGAGCGUGUCGUCUGGUGCAUCAGCUGGAGGUUACGCUGGUGAAGUGCGGCUCUGCAAAUGGAGUAGUGAGUGCCGGAGAGCGAGAAGGACUCUUGGAUAAGAUUAGACAAAUAAAGAGCAAGGAGGUCGGUAUAAUCGGCUACUCGGAGCCGGUGGUACACAACAGGUGUGCGGAAGGUAGGCGACGAGGCCGAUGGGCGAUUGGGAAACGAUAUGGCUUUGUCGAGCCUGCAGCUGACGACGCCCGAGCAAAGGUACACAGGCGCAGUGUACUACGGCGAUAUAUUCAUCUAUACUGCUGCGAGAACGCCGACACCGACUUCGUGCCCACGGCCAAAGUUGGCAAGCUUCUCAGGUCUGCUAAUCUGCCCUCCGAGGUUACCCUCCAGAUACUAGAUAUUUGCAGUGGUGCUAAAAGUAACACACUUAACAGAAAGCAGUUUUACGCUGCUUUAAACUGGUAGCAGCACAUUAAGCUGGCCUCGAGGUUCACAAGGAUUUAAUUUGCGCUUCUGUAGACAAACUUGCUCUGCCAAAAUUCACAUGGCCUUCUUCAAUGGGAGAUGAAGAGGAGAAUGUUAAUUUCUUCUCAUGGGUAAAUAAAGAAGCAUCAUGACAUCUCGCUUAUACUUAUUAGGAAGAACGCAUCGCAUCUCUAUGAACUACACAAAAGCUAUUAGGAGAACAACAUUUAGAGUUCAAGUCUACUUAGAACACGAUGGGUGAUUUUACUGAUAUUUUGCACAAGAUAUAUGGAAUUUACUUGAGUUACUGGUGUAGUUUUUCUGGAAAAAAUGGCAAGGUGCUGAUAGGUAACAGGAGUAAAAC